GUGAAUCAUCGAAUCUUUGAACGCAAAUUGCACUCUCUGGUAUUCCGGAGAGCAUGCCUGUUUGAGGGUCAGUUUAAACAAAAAUCGGUGUGGUUGCUGCCUUGCGUGGUGAAGCCUCGGCUUUGGGUCGUCUUGCCUUCGGGUAUGUGAGCUACAAUUUCGCAUGAUUUUUUUCGCACGUAUUUAAAUGAUUUUACGUACUUUUGCGAUAUGGAAUACUAGGAGUGGUU
rnacentral:misc_RNA from 1 species